CCUAAAAUUAAGCCUAACCCACCCUUAUGAAAACCACUUCCAACUAAACAACAAUAAAACAUUUUAUCAGUUUAGUAAAGGCGAUUAAAAAACUUUCUAGCGCUUUACUUCUAGUACCGCAAGGGAAAAAUGAAAUAGUUUUGAAACAGCCAUUAAGCAACCUAUAGCAGAGACUACCCCUCGUACCUUUUGCAUCAUGGUUUAGCUAGUCUUUUUCAAGCAAAGCGAAACAUCAGUUUGACCCCCCGAAACUAAGCGAGCUACUUCAAAACAGCUCAAUGGAGCCAACCCGUCUCUGUCGCAAAAGAGUGGGACGAUUUUUAAGUAGAGGUGAAAAGCCUACCGAGCUUAGAGAUAGCUGGUUAUUCAAGAAAAGAAUUUUAGUUCUACCUUAAGUUUCUGUAUUAAUCCCAUAAACCACUUAGACUUAAGAGCUAUUCAAAUGAGGCACAGCUUAUUUGAAAAAGGAUACAACCUAUAAAAAAGGGUAAAAAACCCCCCCAAAAAAUAAGUGGGCCUAAAAGCAGCCACCUUUAAGAAAGCGUUAAAGCUCCUUUUUCUAAGAAAUCUAAUACCCAAACACACCUUCAACCCUUUAUUCCCACUGAAUGAUUCUAUACUUACUAUAGAAGCCCCAAUGCUAAAACUAGUAACAAGAAAUUGACCUUCUCCUAAAUACAAGCAUAAACCAAAAUGGACAAACCAUUGGUUAUUAACGUCAAUUAAAUCAAUAUAAUAACUGUAUCAAGAAAACACUAUUACUAGUUAUUACGUUAACCUUACACAAGUGUAUUUCCGGAAAGAUUUAAAGAGGGGGAAGGAACUCGGCAAAUAAUAACCUCGCCUGUUUACCAAAAACAUCGCCUCUUGAUAAAAUAUAAGAGGUCCAGCCUGCCCAGUGAUAUAAUUAAACGGCCGCGGUACCCUGACCGUGCAAAGGUAGCAUAAUCACUUGUUCUCUAAAUAGGGACUCGUAUCAACGGCAUCACGAGGGUUAUACUGUCUCCCCCCUCUAAUCAGUGAAACUGACCUCCCCGUGAAGAGGCGGGGAUAUUAAUACAAGACGAGAAGACCCCAUGGAGCUUUAAACCCAAUAACAACCUUCACCAAAGUACCUUAAAAAUGAAGAGGCACUGUUUAUUGGUUUUAGGUUGGGGUGACCACGGAGAAAAACUAAACCUCCAUGACGAAUGGACCUUAAACCUAAUCUAAGAGCCACUACUCCAAGAAUCAUUAAUUUGACAUAAUUUGAUCCGGCAACCGAUCAACGAACCAAGUUACCCUGGGGAUAACAGCGCAAUCCAUUUCAAGAGCCCCUAUCGACAAAUGGGUUUACGACCUCGAUGUUGGAUCAGGGUAUCCCAGUGGUGCAGCCGCUACUAAAGGUUUGUUUGUUCAACAAUUAAAAC
rnacentral:rRNA from 1 species